GUGAAUCAUCAAAUUUUUGAACGCAAAUUGCACUCUCUUCGGAGAGUAUGCCUGUUUGAGGGUCAGCCUAAAAAAAAAUCGACGUAGUCGCUGUUUCGCGGUGACAUUCGCCGGAAAUUGGGUAAUCUUAAACUUUUGGGUUUUUUAAGCGGCUUAUAAUUUUUUUUAUUAUUUCACGAACGUUUCUAUGUUUUUA
rnacentral:misc_RNA from 1 species